AAGGAAAGGGGGGGUGGAAGGAUGACGCAUUUUGGGGGGUUAAACUCCUUUUUAUAUGGGGAAGAUAAAGACGGUACCAAUAUGAAUAAGCCCCCGGUAAAUUCCGGGCCCAGCAGCCGCGGGUAAUACGGAGGGUGCCAAAGCGUUACUUCGGAAUCCCCUGGGCGUAAAGCGCGCGCAGGCGGCCCUGAUAAGUUGGAUGUGAAAGCCUACGGGCUCAACCCGUAGAACUGCAUCCAAAAACUGUCAGGCUAGAGUGUGGGAGAGGAAGAUGGAAUUAGUUGUGUAGGGGUAAAAUCCGUAGAGAUAACUAGGAAUACCAAAAGCGAAGGCAAUCUUCUGGAACACUACUGACGCUGAGGCGCGAAAGCGUGGGGAGCAAACGGGAUUAGAUACCCCGGUAGUCCACGCAGUAAACGAUGAAUGUUAGUCGUCGGGUAGCUAGUCUAUUCGGUGAUGCAGCUAACGCAUUAAACAUUCCGCCUGGGGAGUACGGUCGCAAGAUUAAAACUCAAAGGAAUAGACGGGGACCCGCACAAGUGGUGGAGCAUGUGGUUUAAUUCGAAGAUACGCGAAGAACCUUACCUAGCCUUGACAUAUAUUAGAAUCUUUCAGAGAUGAGAGAGUGCCUUCGGGAGCUUUUAUACAGGUGCUGCACGGCUGUCGUCAGCUCGUGUCGUGAGAUGUUGGGUUAAGUCCCGCAACGAGCGCAACCCUCGUCACUAGUUACUAACGGUUCGGCCGAGGACUCUAGUGAGACUGCCUUCGCAAGGAGGAGGAAGGUGAGGACGACGUCAAGUCAUCAUGGCCCUUACGGCUAGGGCAACACACGUGCUACAAUGGUUGGGACAAUGAGACGCGAUACCGCGAGGUGGAGCAAAUCUAUAAACCCAAUCUCAGUUCGGAUUGUUCUCUGCAACUCGAGAGCAUGAAGCUGGAAUCACUAGUAAUCGUAGAUCAGCAAUGCUACGGUGAAUACGUUCCCGGGUCUUGUACUCACCGCCCGUCACACCAUGGGAGUUGAUUUCACCCGAAGCGGGGAAGCUAAACUGGCUACCCUCCACGGUGGAAUUAGCAACUGGGGUGAAGUCGUAACAAGGUACC
rnacentral:rRNA from 1 species